UGUUUAGUGGUCUUAGAAGUUUUAAAAAC
rnacentral:piRNA from 1 species